rnacentral:rRNA from 1 species
UAAGCGACUAAGCGUACACGGUGGAUGCCCUGGCAGUCAGAGGCGAUGAAGGACGUGCUAAUCUGCGAUAAGCGUCGGUAAGGUGAUAUGAACCGUUAUAACCGGCGAUUUCCGAAUGGGGAAACCCAGUGUGUUUCGUCACACUAUCAUUAACUGAAUCCAUAGGUUAAUGAGGCGAACCGGGGGAACUGAAACAUCUAAGUACCCCGAGGAAAAGAAAUCAACCGAGAUUCCCCCAGUAGCGGCGAGCGAACGGGGAGCAGCCCAGAGCCUGAAUCAGUGUGUGUGUUAGUGGAAGCGUCUGGAAAGGCGCGCGAUACAGGGUGACAGCCCCGUACACAAAAAUGCACAUACUGUGAGCUCGAUGAGUAGGGCGGGACACGUGGUAUCCUGUCUGAAUAUGGGGGGACCAUCCUCCAAGGCUAAAUACUCCUGACUGACCGAUAGUGAACCAGUACCGUGAGGGAAAGGCGAAAAGAACCCCGGCGAGGGGAGUGAAAAAGAACCUGAAACCGUGUACGUACAAGCAGUGGGAGCCUCUUUUAUGGGGUGACUGCGUACCUUUUGUAUAAUGGGUCAGCGACUUAUAUUCUGUAGCAAGGUUAACCGAAUAGGGGAGCCGAAGGGAAACCGAGUCUUAACCGGGCGUUAAGUUGCAGGGUAUAGACCCGAAACCCGGUGAUCUAGCCAUGGGCAGGUUGAAGGUUGGGUAACACUAACUGGAGGACCGAACCGACUAAUGUUGAAAAAUUAGCGGAUGACUUGUGGCUGGGGGUGAAAGGCCAAUCAAACCGGGAGAUAGCUGGUUCUCCCCGAAAGCUAUUUAGGUAGCGCCUCGUGAAUUCAUCUCCGGGGGUAGAGCACUGUUUCGGCAAGGGGGUCAUCCCGACUUACCAACCCGAUGCAAACUGCGAAUACCGGAGAAUGUUAUCACGGGAGACACACGGCGGGUGCUAACGUCCGUCGUGAAGAGGGAAACAACCCAGACCGCCAGCUAAGGUCCCAAAGUCAUGGUUAAGUGGGAAACGAUGUGGGAAGGCCCAGACAGCCAGGAUGUUGGCUUAGAAGCAGCCAUCAUUUAAAGAAAGCGUAAUAGCUCACUGGUCGAGUCGGCCUGCGCGGAAGAUGUAACGGGGCUAAACCAUGCACCGAAGCUGCGGCAGCGACACUGUGUGUUGUUGGGUAGGGGAGCGUUCUGUAAGCCUGUGAAGGUGUACUGUAAGGUAUGCUGGAGGUAUCAGAAGUGCGAAUGCUGACAUAAGUAACGAUAAAGCGGGUGAAAAGCCCGCUCGCCGGAAGACCAAGGGUUCCUGUCCAACGUUAAUCGGGGCAGGGUGAGUCGACCCCUAAGGCGAGGCCGAAAGGCGUAGUCGAUGGGAAACAGGUUAAUAUUCCUGUACUUGGUGUUACUGCGAAGGGGGACGGAGAAGGCUAUGUUGGCCGGGCGACGGUUGUCCCGGUUUAAGCGUGUAGGCUGGUUUUCCAGGCAAAUCCGGAAAAUCAAGGCUGAGGCGUGAUGACGAGGCACUACGGUGCUGAAGCAACAAAUGCCCUGCUUCCAGGAAAAGCCUCUAAGCAUCAGGUAACAUCAAAUCGUACCCCAAACCGACACAGGUGGUCAGGUAGAGAAUACCAAGGCGCUUGAGAGAACUCGGGUGAAGGAACUAGGCAAAAUGGUGCCGUAACUUCGGGAGAAGGCACGCUGAUAUGUAGGUGAAGUCCCUCGCGGAUGGAGCUGAAAUCAGUCGAAGAUACCAGCUGGCUGCAACUGUUUAUUAAAAACACAGCACUGUGCAAACACGAAAGUGGACGUAUACGGUGUGACGCCUGCCCGGUGCCGGAAGGUUAAUUGAUGGGGUCAGCGCAAGCGAAGCUCUUGAUCGAAGCCCCGGUAAACGGCGGCCGUAACUAUAACGGUCCUAAGGUAGCGAAAUUCCUUGUCGGGUAAGUUCCGACCUGCACGAAUGGCGUAAUGAUGGCCAGGCUGUCUCCACCCGAGACUCAGUGAAAUUGAACUCGCUGUGAAGAUGCAGUGUACCCGCGGCAAGACGGAAAGACCCCGUGAACCUUUACUAUAGCUUGACACUGAACAUUGAGCCUUGAUGUGUAGGAUAGGUGGGAGGCUUUGAAGUGUGGACGCCAGUCUGCAUGGAGCCGACCUUGAAAUACCACCCUUUAAUGUUUGAUGUUCUAACGUGGACCCGUGAUCCGGGUUGCGGACAGUGUCUGGUGGGUAGUUUGACUGGGGCGGUCUCCUCCUAAAGAGUAACGGAGGAGCACGAAGGUUGGCUAAUCCUGGUCGGACAUCAGGAGGUUAGUGCAAUGGCAUAAGCCAGCUUGACUGCGAGCGUGACGGCGCGAGCAGGUGCGAAAGCAGGUCAUAGUGAUCCGGUGGUUCUGAAUGGAAGGGCCAUCGCUCAACGGAUAAAAGGUACUCCGGGGAUAACAGGCUGAUACCGCCCAAGAGUUCAUAUCGACGGCGGUGUUUGGCACCUCGAUGUCGGCUCAUCACAUCCUGGGGCUGAAGUAGGUCCCAAGGGUAUGGCUGUUCGCCAUUUAAAGUGGUACGCGAGCUGGGUUUAGAACGUCGUGAGACAGUUCGGUCCCUAUCUGCCGUGGGCGCUGGAGAACUGAGGGGGGCUGCUCCUAGUACGAGAGGACCGGAGUGGACGCAUCACUGGUGUUCGGGUUGUCAUGCCAAUGGCACUGCCCGGUAGCUAAAUGCGGAAGAGAUAAGUGCUGAAAGCAUCUAAGCACGAAACUUGCCCCGAGAUGAGUUCUCCCUGACCCUUUAAGGGUCCUGAAGGAACGUUGAAGACGACGACGUUGAUAGGCCGGGUGUGUAAGCGCAGCGAUGCGUUGAGCUAACCGGUACUAAUGAACCGUGAGGCUUAACCU